rnacentral:rRNA from 1 species
AGCAGCCGCGGUAAUUCCAGCUCCAAUAGCGUAUAUUAAAGUUGUUGCAGUUAAAAAGCUCGUAGUUGAAUUUCGGGAUCAAUAUUUCGGUCAUGCCGUUGGUAUGCACUGUUAUCAUUGAUUUCUCACCUUCUAAAGAACCGUAAUGCCAUUAAUUUGGUGUUACGGGGAAUUAGGACUGUUACCUUGAAAAAAUUAGAGUGUUUAAAGCAGGCUCACGCUUGAAUACAUUAGCAUGGAAUAAUGAAAUAGGACAUCCGAUUCUAUUUUGUUGUUUCUGGGAUCGAUGUAAUGAUUAAUAGGGAUAGUUGGGGGCAUUAGUAUUCAAUUGUCAGAGGUGAAAUUCUUGGAGUUAU